GUAUUCUCCACUGGUUGAAUGCAAAUGGAAGCCAGAGGAAAAGGGAACCCUUGACACAGUUUUCAUAUAGAUUGGCCUCCAGGGCAGACAGCAGGAGUGGGGUUUAAUCUGGACUGAAUUGGAGGAAAGGAACUGGCACCAGAGUGGAGGCUGGAAGGAUGGUGGAACUGACACUGGGACAGAACACAGAAAACAGAAUCUAAUGCUAGUACCCUAAUGACAAGUUCACCCCAGUGUUUUCUGAGGAGUCUACCUGGAAAUGAGAACCAUCUGUCCUUCCUAUAGUAGUUCUUCUCAGAAUGCCGACUCUAUGCUAAUGGAGGAGGUCUGAUGGCCGGGAGGACAGGAAGAAGGAACCCACAAUGAAGCAAAAGUUGCGUUUAACUCUGUCCUCACCAUUCCUCUCCUGGACCUGUCCUAAACUGGAAGCUGGGGGAGGAUGGAGUGCUGGAAUGCUGCAGAAGUCUCAUGGGAGGGCGCCUGGUGUUCACCACAUGUGUACACUGUUGCACGACCAG
rnacentral:lncRNA from 10 species